rnacentral:rRNA from 1 species
GACGUAGGAGGCGAGCGUCGUCCGGAGUCACUGGGCGUAAAGGGCGCGCAGGCGGCUGCGCCGGCCAUCACGUGAAAGCCCCCGGCUCAACCGGGCGGUGGCGGGUGGGACCGCGCGGCUGGAGGGUGGCAGGGGCCGGUGGAAUUCCCGGUGUAGUAGUGAAAUGCGUAGAUACCGGGAGGAACACCCGCAGCGAAGGCGGCCGGCUGGGCCAACCCUGACGCUGAGGCGCGAAGGCCGGGGGAGCGAACGGG